GUUAGGAAUCUUAUAAUUUUUAUUAUAAGUUUAAAGACGAAUCUAACUAACAGUGUCGUCCAAAUUCUGGUGCCAGAAGACUCGGUAAUACCAGAGACGCGAACGUUAAUCAUCUUGAAUGGGCAUAAAGGGUUUGUAGGCGGCUUAUUUAUUAAUAGGCUAGAAUCUUAGAGAGGUUAAUAAAAUACUUAGAGGAGGGCUGAUAUCCUUAGAUCCUAAGUGGAAUCCUAAUUGCGAAGGCCAUUUUCCACUACAGAUUGACGCUGAUACACGAAGGUUAGGAUAGGAACUAGGAUUAGAGACCCUAUUACCCCUAACUGUAAACGAUGAAUGGAAGAUAUUUACAACUGUAAGUGUCGAAGUGAAUACGAUAACCAUUCCGCCUUGCCAGUAUACUUGCAAAAGUGAAAACAAAAAAAUUAGUCGGUCCUAAAGCAAACGAAGUGAAGCAUGUUAUUUAAUA
rnacentral:rRNA from 1 species